CUGACUUGAUUAUUUAUUUAUUUUUGCAAACUCAGAUCACCUCAAAAUCCAGAGUUUCACUGCUGUUAUGAAAACAGAUGUUGUUGGGAGAGAGAACAAAGAGACAGGCCCUACAAAUGUUGUGGUGAUGAUAGCUGUCAUUGGACUAUGCUUCAUGGUGCUUUUGGCUGGAAUGCUGGGCCUUUUUGCUGAUAGACAGACUGAACAGGAAGAAAGAAUUGCAGUACAGUGACAGGACACAAGCAGGAAGGAGCUCCAGACGAGGUGCUUGUCAAAU